rnacentral:rRNA from 1 species
GAUGAACGCUGGCGGCGUGCCUAAUACAUGCAAGUCGAGCGAAUGGACGAGAAGCUUGCUUCGCUGAUGUUAGCGGCGGACGGGUGAGUAACACGUGGAUAACCUACCUAUAAGACUGGGAUAACUUCGGGAAACCGGAUCUAACACCGGACGAUAUUUUGAACCGCAUGGUUCAAAAGUGAAAGACGGUUUUGCUGUCACUUAUAGAUGGUUCCGCGCUGCAUUAGCUAGUUGGUAAGGUAACGGCCUACCAAGGCAACGGUGCGUAGCCGGCCUGAGAGGGUGAUCGGCCACACUGGAACUGAGACACGGUCCAGACUCCUACGGGAGGCAGCAGUGGGGAAUCUUGCGCAAUGGGCGAAAGCCUGAUCGAGCCACGCCGCGUGUGUGAAGAAGGUCUUCGGAUUGUAAAACUCUUUUAGUAGGGAAGAACAGAAGUAAGAUUAAACGUGGCUGUUUUGACGGUACCAAAACAAAAAGCCCCGGCUAACUACGUG